rnacentral:rRNA from 1 species
AGAGUUUUAUCAUGGCUCAGAUUGAACGCUGGCGGCAGGCCUAACACAUGCAAGUCGAGCGGUAGCACAGAGAGCUUGCUCUCGGGUGACGAGCGGCGGACGGGUGAGUAAUGUCUGGGAAACUGCCUGAUGGAGGGGGAUAACUACUGGAAACGGUAGCUAAUACCGCAUAACGUCGCAAGACCAAAGUGGGGGACCUUCGGGCCUCAUGCCAUCAGAUGUGCCCAGAUGGGAUUAGCUAGUAGGUGGGGUAACGGCUCACCUAGGCGACGAUCCCUAGCUGGUCUGAGAGGAUGACCAGCCACACUGGAACUGAGACACGGUCCAGACUCCUACGGGAGGCAGCAGUGGGGAAUAUUGCACAAUGGGCGCAAGCCUGAUGCAGCCAUGCCGCGUGUGUGAAGAAGGCCUUCGGGUUGUAAAGCACUUUCAGCGGGGAGGAAGGCGUUAAGGUUAAUAACCUUGGCGAUUGACGUUACCCGCAGAAGAAGCACCGGCUAACUCCGUGCCAGCAGCCGCGGUAAUACGGAGGGUGCAAGCGUUAAUCGGAAUUACUGGGCGUAAAGCGCACGCAGGCGGUCUGUCAAGUCGGAUGUGAAAUCCCCGGGCUCAACCUGGGAACUGCAUUCGAAACUGGCAGGCUAGAGUCUUGUAGAGGGGGGUAGAAUUCCAGGUGUAGCGGUGAAAUGCGUAGAGAUCUGGAGGAAUACCGGUGGCGAAGGCGGCCCCCUGGACAAAGACUGACGCUCAGGUGCGAAAGCGUGGGGAGCAAACAGGAUUAGAUACCCUGGUAGUCCACGCCGUAAACGAUGUCGAUUUGGAGGUUGUGCCCUUGAGGCGUGGCUUCCGGAGCUAACGCGUUAAAUCGACCGCCUGGGGAGUACGGCCGCAAGGUUAAAACUCAAAUGAAUUGACGGGGGCCCGCACAAGCGGUGGAGCAUGUGGUUUAAUUCGAUGCAACGCGAAGAACCUUACCUGGUCUUGACAUCCACAGAACUUAGCAGAGAUGCUUUGGUGCCUUCGGGAACUGUGAGACAGGUGCUGCAUGGCUGUCGUCAGCUCGUGUUGUGAAAUGUUGGGUUAAGUCCCGCAACGAGCGCAACCCUUAUCCUUUGUUGCCAGCGGUCCGGCCGGGAACUCAAAGGAGACUGCCAGUGAUAAACUGGAGGAAGGUGGGGAUGACGUCAAGUCAUCAUGGCCCUUACGACCAGGGCUACACACGUGCUACAAUGGCAUAUACAAAGAGAAGCGACCUCGCGAGAGCAAGCGGACCUCAUAAAGUAUGUCGUAGUCCGGAUUGGAGUCUGCAACUCGACUCCAUGAAGUCGGAAUCGCUAGUAAUCGUAGAUCAGAAUGCUACGGUGAAUACGUUCCCGGGCCUUGUACACACCGCCCGUCACACCAUGGGAGUGGGUUGCAAAAGAAGUAGGUAGCUUAACCUUCGGGAGGGCGCUUACCACUUUGUGAUUCAUGACUGGGGUGAAGUCGUAACAAGGUAACCGUAGGGGAACCUGCGGUUGGAUCACCU